AGUGAAGCUCAGUGGUAGAGUGCUUGUCUAGCAUGCAUGAGACCCUGGGUUCUACUUCCAGUACU
rnacentral:tRNA from 1 species